CGUAUAUUUUUUUCAUGAGACAAACAUGUAUUUGUUUGUUUGUAGGGUUCAGAUUUUAAGAUCUCCGGUGGGCUUCUAUAGGAUUGGUAGAAGAGGAGGACCAGAGCUGACCAACUCUUCUCAAGGUCACCUUUCUACAACAAUGUGGACCAGACUAUCGUGAGAAUUUUUAGCAGAAUGAUUCUUGAUAUUAUGUUGGAUCAUGUUGGAAUUCCUAGAGCUAUUUAUCGGAGAAGGAUGUACCCGCAUAACACAAUGACUGUCACUGUGCUUUUCUACCGGAGAAAUGCACGCAUUUGAGUAUUUCUGUUAGCCAUCUUGGUUGAUUACAUCUGGUCAUUACAUUCUUCGGGAGGAGACCUUGUGUUGAGCAUGACACCCAGUCUGGCCAGCCUUGCAACUGCCAGCAACCCGAUUCAUCGACUAUACGUUGAGCCAAGCAAUGGUCUUUGUUAUGAGGAGCCUGACUGCACCGAAUAUGAUGAGUUUCCUGGCUACUAUCCAUGUGACCAUGAGGACAACAAUAGUGAUUGCUUAUCUGAGCUUGAGCUGUGGUGAAUGCGACCGAUGUUUUGACCGCAUAAGAAGAUGAAGUUCUUUUCGUUUAUCGAGUAAUAUUAUCAUAGGU